UGUGGGCGAGGGGCUGGUCA
rnacentral:misc_RNA from 1 species